rnacentral:lncRNA from 1 species
CACCCGGAACUCACGCUGGCCCGCGAGCGCCGCGCGCAGCCCUGGUUCCCGCCCGCGGCUCUCUCUCCACACAUCCCCGCAAGCUGAGGGAGCCAGCUCCGGCCUUGGCCAGCCCAGAAAAGGGCUCCCACAGUGCAGGGGCGGGCUGAAGGGCUCCUCAAGUGCCGCCAAAGUGGGAGCCCAGGCAGAGGAGGCGCCGAGAGCGAGCGAGGGCUGUGAGGACUGCCAGCACGCUGUCACCUCUCAGUCAGAGCCCACAGAUAAUAGCAACACACUAAGGUCCUCAAGGUACAUCGUUGGGAUCAAGCAACUUUGAUCCCAAGGAGAAGAAUAAAAACAAGAGGGACGACUGGGCCAAGGUGCCAUGUGAAGUGACCUGUGAGGAUCAACCCAGUGAAGAUGCUUGAGGAAGACAUGCUAGAGCAAAAACUACAACUCUGGUCCUCUUGGAUAUUUUAGAUAAGGACUUUACCCACAUAAAGAAGGUGUUGCCCUGGGGACUGGCUGAGAGAAAUUACAGACUGUUACUCACUUCAAAAGAAACGGACUGCUACAGUGGUACUUACGUCACCAGAAAGAAACACUUCCACAAAGAAUUUGAUUUGAUGGCAUCAUGUGGACAUAGAACUCUCAUAGUAAUGACCCAACCUGUGUUUCCAGUCAUCCUGAUGAACUCUCAACAAAAUCAGAUUGUUAUACUGUUGUUCUCACUUUACACCGAUAUUUUCUCUUGCUCCUAAAAAAAGUAUCUGGUAUUAAAUAGAAUUCUGUAUCUUAAAAAACUUGCCAUUGAGAAAAAUGAGAAGUAACUGUACAUUUUAAUACUGAAGGUUUUAAUAAAAAAAGCAGUGUGAACUAUC